UUCCUCAUUACAUAAUUGUCAAUUAGUUGAGAGUUCUAAUUGAUUAGCCUUACGCUUCAGUUUUCUUUUUUCUCUUUAUCAUAGAAAUGGGGUUUGCUUUGUUGUCCAGGCUUGUAUUGAACUCCUGACCUCAAGUGAUCCUCCCGCCUCGGCCUUCCAAAACACUGGGAUUACAGGCAUGAGCCACAAUGCUUGGCCUCAGUUUUCUUUAAAACUGGCCUUUACAAGAAGUAGCUCAAGUUAAGCUUUGCCUACGUUUGUGAAUAAAGCGAGGUUAUGGUCACUUAGAAGGCCUCACUUAUAAGUGACCUCAUAAUUGACUUCAGCACAGCUGAGAACCAUGGCCUCACAAUGUGAGGAGGCAGGUGGGAAAGGAACCGAGGAAGAUGACUAGAGAGCUGACGGUUACAGGAGGACGAGGUUUGGGUUAGGCUUUGAGGGAAAGUUUGAUUUCACAAGCCGGGAAGCUGGAGCGUGGGAGGAGACCCCUGGACCGCACCCACAAGAAUCACCUUCACAGCAGGAUGGGCCAGCUGAUGGUCUGCCACUGUUUGGAGGAGGCCUGGAUGCAGGAAAAGGAAUGCAUGGGCAUUUAUGUGAAGCGCUUCCAUUUUGGUGGUCUCCGAGAUUUACAAGAUGUGAGAUAAAAAGCAAAGAAAGCAAUUCCUCUGACUCCUUCGGCUGAAGCCACACAUUCUCCUGGGGACCCAAGCCCCACUGAAGGGCCCUUCCCAGGAGGCCAUCAAAACAAAGACGACAGCACCUAAAGCAACGCUCCCAUGAGCUGCUGGAGUUCCGAACACGGCUUACCAUGUUUCAUAGGAAAGUUUCUUCUGUAAUGCAAGUUUGAGUAACACAACAGCCUCUCCCACCUCACACGGCUGCAGUUAUGUUAAUAACUCAGUGAUCUUUUAAACUAUUGGGUUGACCCACUGCUAUUCCUGCCCAAACAAAAGAGAGAAAGAGAGAGAAAAA
rnacentral:lncRNA from 1 species